GCCGAAAUAGCUCAGUUAGGAGAGCGUUAGACUGAAUAUCUAAAGGUCCCUGGUUCGAUUAAGUCUGACUGACCA